GACGAACGCUGGCGGCGUGCUUAACACAUGCAAGUCGAACGAAGAGCGAUGGAAGCUUGCUUCUAUCAAUCUUAGUGGCGAACGGGUGAGUAACGCGUAAUCAACCUGCCCUUCAGAGGGGGGCAACAGUUGGAAACGACUGCUAAUACCGCAUACGAUCUGACCUCGGCAUCGAGGAUAGAUGAAAGGUGGCCUCUAUUUAUAAGCUAUCACUGAAGGAGGGGAUUGCGUCUGAUUAGCUAGUUGGAGGGGUAACGGCCCACCAAGGCGAUGAUCAGUAGCCGGUCUGAGAGGAUGAACGGCCACAUUGGGACUGAGACACGGCCCAGACUCCUACGGGAGGCAGCAGUGGGGAAUCUUCCGCAAUGGACGAAAGUCUGACGGAGCAACGCCGCGUGAGUGAUGACGGCCUUCGGGUUGUAAAGCUCUGUUAAUCGGGACGAAAGGCCUUCUUGCGAAUAGUUAGAAGGAUUGACGGUACCGGAAUAGAAAGCCACGGCUAACUACGUG
rnacentral:rRNA from 1 species